UUACGGUCAAAUCACGCUGAAAACGGUCAAAUCCGGUUCUCGUUCGAUCACCGAAGUUAAGCAUCGUAGAGCCAGGUCAGUACUUAGAUGGGGGACCGCUUGGGAACACCUGGUACUGUAAG